AAUUUUUUAGCGGUGACGCCCUGUUUUGGUUUCGGGGUGUCAAGGAGGAGGUCUCGAGUUGGAAAGAGGUUAAGGCUCGUUUGUAUGAAGAGUUCCUGCCAUUCGAUUAUAAUCGGCGUUUAUUACAGGAGGUGCGGUCGCGGACACAAGGUGCUGAUGAAUCCAUCAUAAAGUACUUAAGCACAAUGCGGAAUUAUUUUUCUAGGCUCAGCGUGCCGUUACCGGAGUCAGAGCAGCUGGAGAUAGUACAAGGUAACCUUAGACCGUUUUACACGAGUCAGCUUGCUCUCACAAACGUCGGGAACUGGAACGAGCUGAAGGAACGCUGUAGGCAGCUGGAGUACGCCAAAUACCGAGCAGACUCUUUUGCGGAGCCGCCCCGAGUUUCUGCGAAUUCGGUAGCGCCGGACUUAGCCUAUCAGGCUAGGAACCGACUUUCGGUUAACGCCGUAGACACCGAGGUGGACUUAUUUUGCGUUCGUUGCAGGGUUCUUGGACAUGGCCUUUGGCAAUGUAGUGCACCACCCACCCAAUUGUGUUACUCUUGUGGAUUAAAGGGUGCCACCUUGAGCACGUGUCCACGGUGUGGUCCGUCAGUCGCUGAGCCUCCGAAACUACAACAGAAACCAGAUUCUGCUGGACCAACCGUUGCUGGGGUAAGCGUGAACAACGAGCAGCCUGGAACCAAAUCCUCCGGCAGUAGUAGUCGUCGUCGUCGCCGCCGCCGUCGCCGCCGCUGUGAAGAGGCAGGUGAUGGAGACGCGGACAGUGGCUUGCGACCUUAUUUAGAUGUUGCGAUUUACCACCAUCGUUGCAGAGGGUUGUUGGAUUCGGGUUCUACAGUUUCGGUCAUUGGCGGAAAGGCGGCCCAAUCCCUCUCCAGUUGUGGUACGUUGUAUCCAGCUGAGGAGAAAUCCAUUAUCACGGCUAAUGGAUCACAUUCUCCGGUUUCUGGUUUUAAGAUUUUACCGGUGACUGUAGAGGAUGUUACGGCUUUCGUUAAAUUUUAUGUCGUUCCUGAUAUUUCUUCAGAAUUGCUGUUAGGUAUAGAUUUCUGGCGUGCUUUUAAUAUCGCACCUGAUGUUCUGAACCUACUCAAUAAAAGAGGAGUCUCUAUAAGCAGGGAACCGUAUGCAAGUGAGGUUAGACAUUUGAACUCAUGCAACGAGUUGAGUGCUUCGAAGUGUGUACCGGCUGAUAACGCUACUGCCAGUUUGGUAGUUCGUGGUCGUCGCUCACAGGAUUGCCAACUCAGUAGGGUUCGUCGAAGCAUGGAUUCAAAGUCGUACUUGACUGCUAGUUUGACUCCGAAUUACGAGAGGUAUACAGUAGUUCAACAAGUGUCUGGAUUUGUCUACAUUCUUGAAGAUAGCAAUGGGAACCAGACAGAGUGUCACGCCAGGGAUAUUCUCUGUAGAAUUGAUGUUCCGUAGGCCACCUUUGUGUGUGUUGACUUACUCUAUUGAGUAAGCCAGCAAUGCCAAGGGCUCAUUUACUAUGCGUCGUUGUGUUGCAAAGUCAGUGAAUAGUUUCGUAGGCCACCUUUGUGUGUGUUGGCUUACUCUAUUGAGUAGGCCAACAAUGCCAAGGACCCAUUCACUUUGCGUCGUGGAGUUUUUUUUGUGGGAUUUUCCAUAUAAUUUAUUUCAGGGUUUAUCUCAUUGCUUAGGGACUCUACUGAGUCGGUGAGUGAUCUUAACCUUAUUGAUAUUCACUGGGUUUUCCAGCUAUUAUCUUUGAUUUAGGUUUCUCUUAAAUGAGUGACCCACAUAUUCCGAUUGUUUUAGGUGUUUAGGAUUUAAAGAUGGAGGGCCAUCUUUGAAUUUUUCUCGUACCCUCGAAAAAUUCUGGUGGGGACGGGGGGGUACUGUAACACCAUUAUUUUUGUAACUUAACAUUUCGUUAUUGUUUACAUUCUGUUUGUUUACUUUGUUAGUCUUGUCAAGUAUCAGCUGUCAAAUUCGACACACAGGAUAGAUUUUCAGUUGUUGUCUGUGGCCCUUUGAGAAAACUCGUGCUAGAUCGUCAUCGGACAGUGGUCAGUGGCGACAUGACGCUCAGAACAAUGAUCGUGCUGACUGGCCACAGAGUAGUUUUGUGACGAUGAGCUGACAUCCCCGGUGACGGCUUUUUCGGAACUGGCAAGGAGGCAAACCAUUCUCUGUCAGAACGUCUCGAGUAAAUGUGUGGUUAGAUUUUUCUUCCCGCCCGCGUGGCGCAGGCCGUAUUGGUACCAAGUUCCUUGCUUCAUAUUUCCUGUUACCAGAUACGUGCCACAGACACCCACGCAGCAUCACACCAUGUAUACCUAACCUGAAUUGCCGAGUGAGUAAACUAGCAUUUCGUUGUUAUUCGAUUUCCGAUGACUUUGGAUUUCGAAAGCCAUCUGCCUUGUCUUUAUUUCUACACGUAGCAACGUCUAACCCCGCGUAUUUCUUUUACAGCAAUUUCAAUCCUGCCCGGUGAAGCGUGCGAUUGCCAGACGCGUGUCACCUGACCCAACCCCAAGGUAAGCGCCAUGACCUUCCACGUGUCGAUUAGGUUAUUUUGCAAGUGUCACGUUUAAACAGCAAAGCUACC